rnacentral:rRNA from 1 species
CAAGUCAAGGGGGCCCAGCAAUGGGCAACCGGCGAACGGGUGCGUAACACGUGAGCAACCUACCGAACUGUGGGGGAUAGCCGGCCUAACGGCCGAGUAAUACCGCAUACGCUUUCUAAAAGGCAUUUUUUGGAAAGGAAACCUACGGGACAGAUCGAGGGGCUCGCGGCCUAUCAGCUAGUUGGCGAGGUAAUGGCUCACCAAGGCUACGACGGGUAGCUGGUCUGAGAGGAUGGCCAGCCACAUUGGGACUGAGAUACGGCCCAGACUCCUACGGGAGGCAGCAGUGGGGAAUCUUGCGCAAUGGCCUAACGGCUGACGCAGCGACGCCGCGUGUGGGAUGAAGCUCCUCGGAGUGUAAACCACUGUUGCCCGGGACGAAUAGCUCGAUUAGUCGAGCCUGACGGUACCGGGUGAGGAAGCACCGGCUAACUCCGUGCCAGCAGCCGCGGUAAUACGGGGGGUGCGAGCGUUGUCCGGAAUCACUGGGCGUAAAGGGCGCGUAGGUGGUUUGAUAAGGGUGUGGUGAAAGCCCGGGGCUCAACCCCGGGUCUGCCGUGCCGACUGUCAAACUCGAGGGCUGUAGAGGCAGACGGAAUUCCGGGUGUAGCGGUGGAAUGCGUAGAGAUCCGGAGGAAGACCGGUGGCGAAGGCGGUCUGCUGGGUAGUUUCUGACACUGAUGCGCGACAGCGUGGGGAGCAAACAGGAUUAGAUACCCUGGUAGUCCACGCCGUAAACGAUGGGUACUAGGUGCCUGGGGGAGCGACCCUCUGGGUGCCGGCGCUAACGCAGGAAGUACCCCGCCUGGGGAGUACGACCGCAAGGUUGAAACUCAAAGGAAUUGACGGGGGCCCGCACAAGCGGUGGAGCAUGUGGUUUAAUUC